AGGGGCGUACGUUAAUAGGCAAGCGGCCGGUCUCCAAAACCGGUGCUGGGGGUUCGAGUCCCUCCGCCCCUGCCA
rnacentral:tRNA from 2 species